UGGCAGUGUGUGUUAGCUGGUUGAAAUUCUGACAUCAGCUAACAUGCAGUUGCUAUC
rnacentral:pre_miRNA from 1 species